AUGGUAUUAGACAAGAUGUGCUCUUACUCAACCACAAGGUAGUCUGAGACAAAUGGAUAAACCCUAGUACCAAAGAGAAACAAAACAAUAAAAAAAAAGAAAAAAAAAGCUGAAAAAGUCAUUUUGAGUGAAAGCGCAAAAAGCUCUUUACUGGAGAUAGUAUUUCGGAAAAGCUCACACACACUACUAAGAUCAUUUUUGUUGGAGUCACUGUUUAAAGGGAAAAUUUGCUGUCUGCAUCCGAGAAUAUGCUAAACACGGGAACUGUUAUUAUCCGAAAUAACUGAAAUCAUUCGUCAACUGAUGGAAACAAACCUGAUGAAAACACUGAAGGGUGGCAUUCCAAGUUAAAUAAAGAAAGCUGUCGGGCUCCAUGCAAACGUAUGUUUAUA